rnacentral:rRNA from 1 species
AACGAACGCUGGCGGCGUGCCUAACACAUGCAAGUCGAGGGAGAAAGCCCGCAAGGGUUAGUAAACCGGCGAACGGGUGCGUAACACGUGGAUAAUCUACCUUCCUGACUGGGACAACUGGCCGAAAGGCUUGCUAAUACCAGAUAAGCCCACGUCGUCUUCGGACGCUGAGGGAAAAGGUGGCCUCUGCAUGCAAGCUAUCACAGGGAGAUGAGUCCGCGGCCCAUCAGCUCGUUGGCGGGGUAAAAGCCCACCAAGGCUACGACGGGU